rnacentral:sRNA from 1 species
AAGCUACAAAAGGCAAAGGGCAGCCCCUCAGAAAAACCCACUGUUAAAGGAAGACCUCGUGCGUCUGGACUGACCUGACAGAGGGCGCCAUGGAGAGAAAAGCGGGCCAGAGCUGGAGCCCAUUAAUACUGCCCGCCCCCGUCAGGUGACUAAAGGGCAGGCUCCAUGCUCCUCAGCUGCCUGGAUUAAUGUCAGGGCCACCUGCAGCAAGUGAACGUCCUUGGGAAGGUCUUCUCGAAUGUGCCCCUGUCACCUCCCACGGGCCUAUGAAAACCCACGCUGUCAUAAGAACCAAGAAAUUCAAAUCGUGUCCCCUAAGGACACGGGGAACUGCCGGAGCCUUGAAUUAUUCGUAUCUAGCAAUCCAGCAUAUGUGCUUUCUGUCAUCCCGAUACCCUGGAGGGGUGCACCAGACCCAGCAGCCGGGCUGGCACAGAACCCGGUGCUCCAGAAGCCCAAACAAGCAUUUAGUCGUUGGAGCAACAGUGGUCUCACAGGUUUCCUGGAGAUGCUCGCCCACUCCACCCCCAAGACAGAGGCUGACCUGGAAUUCAUCAUGCCCAGCUACUAGAGAUCUUCAGCCACUGAGCACAUCCAGGUGAACAAAGCCCCUACUGUGCGCACUGUCCUUACAGAGCUUGUGGCCACAGUCCUCCUACAUGUGGACUUUACUGCUUCACUGAGAUGAUCUUCCCUGGAAAGGGACAAGCUACUCCUGAACUAGAAGAGGAGAAAAAGUCCCGCUUAAAUUCAUACAGGUCAGCAGCCUGUGUCGUACCACAAAUUGAAUUGAACAAGCGGGAUCCAGGAACUGGUCUGAACCA